rnacentral:rRNA from 1 species
GACGAACGCUGGCGGCGUGCUUAACACAUGCAAGUCGAGGGCACUUUGGGGGCAACUCUGGAGUGACCGGCGAACGGGUGCGUAACACGUGAGCGACCUUGCCUCGUGGUGGGGGAUAGCCGGCCCAACGGCCGGGUAAUACCGCAUAUGGUGCUUCUCUCGCAUGGGAGAGGUAGCAAAGCUGAGUCGCAAGACUUGGCGCCACAGGGGGGCGUCNCGGCCGUA